ACAAAUAAUAUACCACUACUUUUUAUUUGUAAAUCCCACAUAAGUAAGCAAUUCUCAUGGAAGCUUUUCUUGACUUUGGCCACACUCUUGCAUCCACAACCAACUUGUGCUACCAAGUGAACAAACUAUGACUAAAGGACUGUUCUUCCACUUUGCAGCUGCUCCUAUCAGUGACAAAUCAGCGUAUUAGAACAUGCAUGCUGGUUGAUCAUUCUGAUCAAGUCAACAAGCUUCACAACUUACUCAAUGAGGUCGUCCGUGAGAACUUCACUGUUUUACGGGGACAGGAGCUACUUCUUUGCUGAACUGCAUCACGGUUUCAACUGCUGAGGUUUUCUUCAAGCUUUUGCAUUGUUUGGAAUGUGAAAGGCACGGCCGAGACACACUUUGAGGUUCCCACUGCAUUGUUACACCUCCCCCCUCACUUCAGGGCCAGGUAACACCAAGAAGGACGCCAUGAGAGCGAAGGCCAUUGGGUAACCACCCUUUGCUCUCGCGCUGCGCGUCUCCCUGCCAUCAACCGCCACUGGGAGCGGUUGAGGGCGGCCGGCCUCGCGCUGGAACCUUGCCCGCCUCAAGGCUCCUGCGGCGGCGCACGGGGCAGGCCAGGAGCCCGCCCUAGGAGGGCCCCGCUGGAGAUGUGGAAAUGGAGGGACGCGGCACCUGGGCGCUUCCUGGGGCCAGACAACGCCCCCUCAUUGGAACCUCCAUGACCGUGCCUCUGAGAAACCAGCGCGUCUGCGACGAUCACUCCUAAUUUUCGGUAAUACAAACCUGCAGUCCAUGCACUUAGGUAACACCCUUGCUGAAAGGUUUACCUUUGGAGGGUUUAUCCUAAAGCAAAGUAUCCUCGAAUUGCAUGUCUUGCAUUCCCUUUGGAUGGCAUUGAUUUCAUUCCUGCUCAUGCCUUUCAAAAAACAGUAUGCCCUGUUUUCCUACUCAGUCUGGAGGUUCCAUUAAAGAGUAUUUCUGGCAAAGAUUUUUAGACCUGAAAACACACUCCAAAAUAUACUUUCUUCUGACUCCAUUCCCAGAGUUU
rnacentral:lncRNA from 1 species